rnacentral:lncRNA from 1 species
CUAUUCAUUUAGCUAUAAUUCGCUUAAGUUAAUAAAGUAAACCAAUAUUCCGGACUCAUUAUAUCCUACCAUUUCUAUAUGCUAGAGUUGUAUUUAGUGUAACACUAGCCCUUUCCCAUCUUGAAUUAUUACAGACAACUACUAAACAAUGUAUUAUAAAAUAUCCAAAUUGGAGUUCAUUCUGUAGCUCAAGUUAAGGUGCAAAAUAUUAGUAGCAGAAAUUAAGAACCAACGCUUGAUCUCAAAUAACACUUCAAUCCAUUAUUGGAAUAAUGCAUUACGUAACAGGAGUGAAUCAAUUAAAUUUUACUCCAUUAUCAUAAAAGUUCAACAAAUUGCACCAAUUAAGAGAGCAAUAACGAAACUUCAAUUUUUGAACUAAGUAAUCAACCUUUUCGACUAAACCCAUCCCAACCUUUAAGAAUCGAAGUGAUAAGCUGAGAGUAAAAACAAUAGACACCAUUAGCCAUAGCAGUCUUCUAGUCUCUAGAAAAACUUGCAUUAAACCAGCAAAUUCAACACCUAGUAAAACUUGAGUUUUCCAAACAACACUAAAGCUUAAGAAGCAAAAACAGAAAACAGAGGAAAUCGCUACUAGUUGAACGCACAAUCAAUCUGAAGUUAAGAAGUGCUAUUUUCAAGCAUAAUGUUCAUUAACAACUUCAAUACACAUGAGUCCAUUUCAAGAUCCACAAUAAAGCAGGCUUAAUAGCCUUGAACAAUACCAUUUAAAGGUUUAAAACAGUCCUUGAAGCAACUAUGCUCAAACAAACUCAAAUCCAAUACUUAAAACAGAACAAGUGACAUGAAUGAUUACACUUAAGAAGCUAAAAUAAAUAUAAAAAAAUGGACAUCAAGCCAAAAUAAGAUAAGGUCACAUAGCCAAUAGGGAACAGAGUGUUAGCAUUGAUCGGCUUCCUCAACUUGAAUUCAUAAACAACAUCAUAGUUUAGCCAGAACUUCAUUUCUCAUUCAUGGUGUGAAGGGAAUACCUGGAUACAGCAGUCAAAACAAAAGAAGAGAGAUGAUUAAGGGACGAAGCUUCAGCUCACAUCAGCAGUGUAACAAUGAAAACCAAUUUUAAAUCGAAAUGAUACACAGCAGGUCAAAACUAAUUUCACUAAGAUGUAAUCCAACAGAAUUCAAACCAGCCUUUCAUAACCCAAACUUAAACCUUUUUGAAUCCCACAAUGAGGAACUAUUGUUUUCAGACGUUUGAAAAAGAAUCAGAAAAUCACUGGAAUUCAUUGAAACAGUAGAAUUUUUUUGCCGUUUCUAUUUACUGAUUUUUUAUCUCUUUCAAAUCUGACUUGAGCUCUAAGUAACAAUGCCUUUAUAGGCAAGCUACUAGGGCAGCCUCAAAGAGAUCAAAAUUUUCACUUAAAACCUUCUGAAAUUUUCAUUUUAGCUUAGAAAUCCCUAGUGUAAACCUCAGAAUUUCAAAAUAGCCCCCACCACAGCUUCUAAGAAGCUUCCUAGUUCAGUUAUAUAAGAUUCCCCUACCUAUAUUCCCCAAUUUACCCUUACAACCCCUGAAAUUUACAUUGUACUCAAAUGGGCUAUGGGUCAAAUUGACCCUGGGUCGAAUCCAUUAGACAACCAGCCCAAAACUGGAUUGAAAGGUAUAAACCUCCAGCCCAAACACAAUCAAACCAAUGUUUCUGAAUUAACAUGAAACAAACAGAAACAAUUCGAGCCUCUUUUUUUCUUUAUCCAAUUAUUGAACUAACAUUAUUGACUGUUGAAACAGACUAUUUAAACCAACUAAUUAAAAACGAAAAGCCUCUUUAAACUAAUCAUGCAUAGGAAAAAAGGACGAUUUUAAAACACUAAGAAGUCCAAAAGAAGAGGAAGAAACAGAUGGCAAUAAAAGAAGAAAAAAUGAAAGAAAAGUAAAGAAAACCAGGGAAAUACCUAAAGGCACGGACAGACUUGGAACAGCUUAAGAGCCUCCGUCACUUUCUUGACAAGAACAGUCUUUAAUCGGGUGUUUUCGUGUGAAAACAUACGAUUAAAGGCCAUUAUGGCCUAGAACCGUCAAAAACCCCCAUUGGAUUUGGAUUUGUGGAACUAGGGUUUUUCUCUGAUUUGAGAUUCGAAUAGCUCCGGGGAGAUUCGAGAGAAGAGACUUCUGGAUUCGACAUAUGGGGGUCGUGGGGGUUUCAGGGUGUUAAUUUGGGAGUGAUUGGGAAAAGUCGAGUGUUGGUCUAAUUUUUGAUCUAAUAUUCGAGACGAACCAGUGGGAUUCGAACGACACCGGUUAGGGAUUUAGGAAGAGGAGAUGAAAGGGGUCUUGGGGUGUAAGCUUGGUGGUAGUUCACGGUGGCGCCGCCGGCUUGGAGCAUGGAAAAAGGGGGCAACAGGCUAGGGUUUAUUGGUGAGAGCCUCAGGGGAGGGCUGAACGGGAUGGAAUGAAGGGGGUGG